rnacentral:rRNA from 1 species
CAAGGAAUUUUCCGCAAUGGGCGAAAGCCUGACGGAGCAACGCCGCGUGGGGGAGGACGCCCUUCGGGGUGUAAACCUCUUUUCUUGGGGACGACGACCGACGGUACCCGAGGAAGAAGGACCGGCUAACUACGUGCCAGCAGCCGCGGUAAUACGUAGGGUCCGAGCGUUGUCCGGAGUUACUGGGCGUAAAGCGCGCGCAGGCGGCCUGCCAAGUCCGGCGUGAAAGCCCCCGGCUCAACCGGGGAGGGUCGUCGGAGACUGGUGGGCUUGAGGGCGGGAGGGGUCGGUGGAAUGCCCGGUGUAGUGGUGAAAUGCGUAGAGAUCGGGCGGAACACCCGUGGCGAAGGCGGCCGACUGGGCCGACCCUGACGCUGAGGCGCGAAGGCGUGGGGAGCGAACGGG